rnacentral:rRNA from 1 species
GAUGAACGCUAGCGGCAGGCCUAACACAUGCAAGUCGAGGGGUAACAUUGUAGCUUGCUACAGAUGACGACCGGCGCACGGGUGCGUAACGCGUAUACAAUCUACCUUUUGCUGGGGGAUAGCCUUUGGAAACGAAGAUUAAUACCCCAUAGUAUGGUUACUUCGCAUGGAGUUGCUAUUAAAGGUUACGGCAAAAGAUGAGUAUGCGUUCUAUUAGCUAGAUGGUGUGGUAACGGCACACCAUGGCAACGAUAGAUAGGGGCCCUGAGAGGGGGAUCCCCCACACUGGUACUGAGACACGGACCAG